rnacentral:rRNA from 1 species
GGAGCAACGCCGCGUGAAUGAAGAAGGCCUUCGGGUCGUAAAAUUCUGUUGUCAGAGAAGAAUGUGCGUGAGAGUAACUGUUCACGUAUUGACGGUAUCUGACCAGAAAGCCACGGCUAACUACGUGCCAGCAGCCGCGGUAAUACGUAGGUGGCAAGCGUUGUCCGGAUUUAUUGGGCGUAAAGGGAACGCAGGCGGUCUUUUAAGUCUGAUGUGAAAGCCUUCGGCUUAACCGAAGUAGUGCAUUGGAAACUGGAAGACUUGAGUGCAGAAGAGGAGAGUGGAACUCCAUGUGUAGCGGUGAAAUGCGUAGAUAUAUGGAAGAACACCAGUGGCGAAAGCGGCUCUCUGGUCUGUAACUGACGCUGAGGUUCGAAAGCGUGGGUAGCAAACAGGAUUAGAUACCCUGGUAGUCCACGCCGUAAACGAUGAGUGCUAAGUGUUGGAGGGUUUCCGCCCUUCAGUGCUGCAGCUAACGCAUUAAGCACUCCGCCUGGGGAGUACGGUCGCAAGACUGCGAACUCAAAAUGAAUUGACGGA